rnacentral:rRNA from 1 species
AGGUAGUCAAGAUGAGAAUUCUAAGGUGAGCGAGCGAACUCUCGUUAAGGAACUCGGCAAAAUGACCCCGUAACUUCGGGAGAAGGGGUGCUCUUUAGGGUUAACGCCCAGAAGAGCCGCAGUGAAUAGGCCCAAGCGACUGUUUAUCAAAAACACAGGUCUCUGCUAAACCGUAAGGUGAUGUAUAGGGGCUGACGCCUGCCCGGUGCUGGAAGGUUAAGAGGAGUGGUUAGCUUCUGCGAAGCUACGAAUCGAAGCCCCAGUAAACGGCGGCCGUAACUAUAACGGUCCUAAGGUAGCGAAAUUCCUUGUCGGGUAAGUUCCGACCCGCACGAAAGGCGUAACGAUUUGGGCACUGUCUCAACGAGAGACUCGGUGAAAUCAUAGUACCUGUGAAGAUGCAGGUUACCCGCGACAGGACGGAAAGACCCCGUGGAGCUUUACUGUAGCCUGAUAUUGAAAUUCGGCACAGCUUGUACAGGAUAGGUAGGAGCCUUUGAAACGUGAGCGCUAGCUUACGUGGAGGCGCUGGUGGGAUACUACCCUAGCUGUGUUGGCUUUCUAACCCGCACCACUUAUCGUGGUGGGAGACAGUGUCAGGCGGGCAGUUUGACUGGGGCGGUCGCCUCCUAAAAGGUAACGGAGGCGCUCAAAGGUUCCCUCAGAAUGGUUGGAAAUCAUUCAUAGAGUGUAAAGGCAUAAGGGAGCUUGACUGCGAGACCUACAAGUCGAGCAGGGUCGAAAGACGGACUUAGUGAUCCGGUGGUUCCGCAUGGAAGGGCCAUCGCUCAACGGAUAAAAGCUACCCCGGGGAUAACAGGCUUAUCUCCCCCAAGAGUUCACAUCGACGGGGAGGUUUGGCACCUCGAUGUCGGCUCAUCGCAUCCUGGGGCUGUAGUCGGUCCCAAGGGUUGGGCUGUUCGCCCAUUAAAGCGGUACGCGAGCUGGGUUCAGAACGUCGUGAGACAGUUCGGUCCCUAUCCGUCGUGGGCGUAGGAAAUUUGAGAGGAGCUGUCCUUAGUACGAGAGGACCGGGAUGGACAUACCUCUGGUGUACCAGUUGUCGUGCCAACGGCAUAGCUGGGUAGCUAUGUGUGGACGGGAUAAGUGCUGAAAGCAUCUAAGCAUGAAGCCCCCCUCAAGAUGAGAUUUCCCAACUUCGGUUAUAAGAUCCCUCAAAGAUGAUGAGGUUAAUAGGUUCGAGGUGGAAGCAUGGUGACAUGUGGAGCUGACGAAUACUAAUCGAUCGAAGACUUAAUCAA